AAAUUUACGUGAGGAGUUUUACUCUACAUUGAAAGCAAAGGCAUCAUCCGUAAAGGUCCAGACUCUCAAGCUGACUAAUCACAAGUUUCGCACACCCUCGUCACAUCACCUAUUAGAGGCACUGUGUUCUAUGCCAAACUUGACUAACUUGACACUCGAUGGAAGAGAUUUACGUGAGGAGUUUUACUCUACAUUGAAAGCAAAGGCAUCAUCCAUAAAGGUCCAGACUCUCAAGCUGACUAAUCACAAGUUUCGCACACCCUCGUCACAUCACCUAUUAGAGGCACUGUGUUCUAUGCCAAACUUGACUAACUUGACACUCGAUGGAAGAAAUUUACGUGAGGAGUUUUACUCUACAUUGAAAGCAAAGG